rnacentral:rRNA from 1 species
AGGAUGAACGCUGGCGGCGUGCCUAACACAUGCAAGUCGAACGGGGUUAAGGGAAAUUUUCGGAUGGAACUUAACUUAGUGGCGGACGGGUGAGUAACGCGUGGAUAACCUGCCUCACACUGGGGGAUAGCAGCUGGAAACGGCUGGUAAUACCGCAUAAGACCCCGGUGCCGCAUGGCACUGAGGUAAAAGAUUUAUCGGUGUGAGAUGGAUCCGCGUCUGAUUAGCCAGUUGGCGGGGUAACGGCCCACCAAAGCGACGAUCAGUAGCCGGCCUGAGAGGGUGAACGGCCACAUUGGGACUGAGACACGGCCCAAACUCCUACGGGAGGCAGCAGUGGGGAAUAUUGCACAAUGGGCGCAAGCCUGAUGCAGCAAACCGCCGCGUGAGUGAAGAAGUAUUUCGGUAUGUAAAGCUCUAUCGGCAGGGAAGAAAGGCCCGAAAGGGAGAUGACGGUACCUGACUAAGAAGCCCCGGCUAACUACGUGCCAGCCGCCGC